ACGUAAGUGAUGCGGUAGAGGAGCGUUCUGUAAGCCUGUGAAGGUGAGUUGAGAAGCUUGCUGGAGGUAUCAGAAGUGCGAAUGCUGACAUGAGUAACGACAAUGCGAGUGAAAAACUCGCACGCCGAAAGACCAAGGUUUCCUGCGCAACGUUAAUCGACGCAGGGUUAGUCGGUCCCUAAGGCGAGGCUGAAAAGCGUAGUCGAUGGAAAACAGGUUAAUAUUCCUGUACUUCCAGUUAUUGCGAUGGAGGGACGGAGAAGGCUAGGCCAGCUUGGCGUUGGUUGUCCAAGUUUAAGGUGGUAGGCUGAAAUCUUAGGUAAAUCCGGGAUUUCAAGGCCGAGAGCUGAUGACGAGUUACCUUUUAGGUAACGAAGUGGUUGAUGCCAUGCUUCCAAGAAAAGCUUCUAAGCUUCAGGUAACCAGGAACCGUACCCCAAACCGACACAGGUGGUUGGGUAGAGAAUACCAAGGCGCUUGAGAGAACUCGGGUGAAGGAACUAGGCAAAAUGGCACCGUAACUUCGGGAGAAGGUGCGCCGGUGAGGGUGAAGGACUUGCUCCGUAAGCUCAUGCCGGUCGAAGAUACCAGGCCGCUGCGACUGUUUAUUAAAAACACAGCACUCUGCAAACACGAAAGUGGACGUAUAGGGUGUGACGCCUGCCCGGUGCCGGAAGGUUAAUUGAUGGGGUUAGCGCAAGCGAAGCUCUUGAUCGAAGCCCCGGUAAACGGCGGCCGUAACAAUAACGGUCCUAAGGUAGCGAAAUUCCUUGUCGGGUAAGUUCCGACCUGCACGAAUGGCAUAAUGAUGGGGGCGCUGUCUCCAGCAGAGACUCAGUGAAAUCGAAUUCGCCGUGAAGAUGCGGUGUACCCGCGGCUAGACGGAAAGACCCCGUGAACCUUUACUGCAGCUUGACAUUGAACUUUGAUCUUACUUGUGUAGGAUAGGUGGGAGGCUUUGAAACCGAGACGCUAGUUUCGGUGGAGCCAAUCUUGAAAUACCACCCUGGUAAUAUUGAGGUUCUAACUCUGCUCCAUUAUCUGGAGCGAGGACCAUGUCUGGUGGGUAGUUUGACUGG
rnacentral:rRNA from 1 species